UCGAACGGCAGCACGGGAGCAAUCCUGGUGGCGAGUGGCGAACGGGUGAGUAAUACAUCGGAACGUGCCCAGUAGUGGGGGAUAGCCCGGCGAAAGCCGGAUUAAUACCGCAUACGACCUACGGGUGAAAGCGGGGGACCGCAAGACCUCGCGCUAUUGGAGCGGCCGAUGUCGGAUUAGCUAGUUGGUGGGGUAAAGGCUUACCAAGGCUACGAUCCGUAGCUGGUCUGAGAGGACGACCAGCCACACUGGGACUGAGACACGGCCCAGACUCCUACGGGAGGCAGCAGUGGGGAAUUUUGGACAAUGGGCGCAAGCCUGAUCCAGCCAUGCCGCGUGCGGGAAGAAGGCCUUCGGGUUGUAAACCGCUUUUGUCAGGGAAGAAACGGUCUGGGCUAAUACCCCGGACUAAUGACGGUACCUGAAGAAUAAGCACCGGCUAACUACGUGCCAGCAGCCGCGGUAAUACGUAGGGUGCAAGCGUUA
rnacentral:rRNA from 1 species